AACGAACGCUGGCGGCAGGCUUAACACAUGCAAGUCGAGCGCCCCGCAAGGGGAGCGGCAGACGGGUGAGUAACACGUGGGAAUCUACCCAUCCCUGCGGAACAACUCCGGGAAACUGGAGCUAAUACCGCAUACGCCCUACGGGGGAAAGAUUUAUCGGGGAUGGAUGAGCCCGCGUUGGAUUAGCUAGUUGGUGGGGUAAAGGCCUACCAAGGCGACGAUCCAUAGCUGGUCUGAGAGGAUGAUCAGCCACAUUGGGACUGAGACACGGCCCAGACUCCUACGGGAGGCAGCAGUGGGGAAUAUUGGACAAUGGGCGCAAGCCUGAUCCAGCCAUGCCGCGUGAGUGAUGAAGGCCUUAGGGUUGUAAAGCUCUUUCACCGAUGAAGAUAAUGACGGUAGUCGGAGAAGAAGCCCCGGCUAACUUCGUGCCAGCCGCCGCAGUAA
rnacentral:rRNA from 1 species